rnacentral:rRNA from 1 species
GAUGAACGCUGGCGGCGUGCCUAAUACAUGCAAGUCGAGCGAACGGACGAGAAGCUUGCUUCUCUGAUGUUAGCGGCGGACGGGUGAGUAACACGUGGAUAACCCACCUAUCAGUCUGGGAUAACUUCGGGAAACCGGAGCUAAUACCGGAUGAUAUCCUGCACCGCAGGGUUCAAAAGUGAAAGACGGUCUUGCUGUCACUCAUAGAUGGAUCCGCGCUGCAUUAGCUAGUUGGUAAGGUCACGGCUUACCAAGGCAACGAGGCAUAGCCGACCGGAGAGGGGGAUAGGCCGCCCGAGAACGUGGACACGGUCCAGGCGACUACGAGAGGGCGCAGAAGGGAAUGUUCCGCAGUGGGCGAAAGCCUUGCGGAGCAGCGGCGCGUGAGUGAUGAAGGUCUUCGGAUCGUAAAGCUCUGUUAUUAGGUAAGAACAUAUGUGUAAGUAACUGUGCACAUCUUGACGGUACCUAAUCAAAAAGCCACGGCUAACUACGUG